GUGCCAUCAGUUUCGGUAAUACGUAGGGUGCGCAGCGGUAGCCGGAAUUAUUGGGCGUAAAGAGCUCGUAGGCGGUUUGUCGCGUCUGUCGUGAAAGUCCGGGGCUUAACCCCGGAUCUGCGGUGGGUACGGGCAGACUAGAGUGCAGUAGGGGAGACUGGAAUUCCUGGUGUAGCGGUGGAAUGCGCAGAUAUCAGGAGGAACACCGAUGGCGAAGGCAGGUCUCUGGGCUGUAACUGACGCUGAGGAGCGAAAGCAUGGGGAGCGAACAGGAUUAGAUACCCUGGUAGUCC
rnacentral:rRNA from 1 species